UGAUUAAUCAAUAAUUACAAGAAUUUAACUAAAUUACUUAUCCUGAAUAAAAAAUAAAUAAUAAACUGUUUCCUUUUCACCCAAUAUAUAAAAGAAAUUAGCCUAGCAUAAUGUUAGAAUCAAACAAAUCAAAGUGGAAAGAUAUCACCAAAAAUCAAUCGAACAUGAUUAAUUCCUCAAUUUCAUAUUUUUGCCAUCCGUUUUCCGCCGGCUUUACGUGUUUUUCUCCCGCAGCUGC
rnacentral:lncRNA from 1 species